rnacentral:rRNA from 1 species
UACGUAGGGGGCAAGCGUUGUCCGGAUUUAUUGGGCGUAAAGCGCGCGCAGGUGGUGGAUUAAGUUGUGGGUAAAAGGCAUUGGCUCAACCAAUGUAAGCCUGCAAAACUGGUUCACUUGAGUGCAGGAGAGGGGAGUGGAAUUCCCGGUGUAGCGGUGGAAUGCGUAGAUAUCGGGAGGAACACCAGUGGCGAAGGCGACUCUCUGGCCUGUAACUGACACUGAGACGCGAAAGCGUGGGGAGCGAACAGG